CUACGGGAUGCAGCAGUCGAGAAUAGUCUACAAUGGACGAAAGUCUGAUAGUGCGACGCCGCGUGGAUGAAGAAGCAUUUCGGUGUGUAAAGUCCUUUUCUGUGUGAGCAAUGUUUUCCAGGUUAAUAGCUUGGAGAAAGCGAUAUUAACACAGGAAUAAGCUCCGGCUAACUCCGUGCCAGCAGCCGCGGUAACACGGGGGGAGCAAGCGUUGUCCGGAAUUACUAGGCGUAAAGGGUAAGUAGGCGGAAUUGUAAGUCAGAUGUUAAAGGCACCGGCUCAACCGGUGUAUGGCAUUUGAUACUGUAAUUCUAGAGUCAGGUGGGGGAAGACGGAAUUCCUGGUGUAGCGGUGGAAUGCGCAGAUAUCAGGAGGAACACCAGAGGCGCAGGCGGUCUUCUAUACCAUUACUGACGCUCAAUUACGCAGGUGUGGGUAUCAAACAGGAUUAGAUACCCCUGUAGUC
rnacentral:rRNA from 1 species